AGAAGGGAACAAAGUCAUUUGUAGCGGUUCAACAUGAAUUAAAUUGUGGCGAUAUCAGACUAUACAAGGAGUGUUACUCUAGUGAUAAGAAGGGAUGGGCAUCAGAAGAUGCCAGGAAUAAACAUGAAGAAAUGUUGCAGAAGCAAAAGGAACCUAUAGAGGAGGGUGAAGUACCUUUAACAGAGCAACAGAUUUGCGAGCAUGUGCUAGGUAAGGCAUAUGGUUACGUCAGAGGUCGGGGUCAUGGACCAAAACCAAAUAGAAGGG